AGCAGUCGGAGAUAUCAAAAAGCAAUAAUUUAAAUCUUUGCUUAUUUGUUGCGCGUUGUGUGCCCCGGUGAGCUCGUCGUACUUCAUUCACGUUUUUUUCAAUUGAGAAUACUUGGUAUUCCGUUAAAAAACGCCCGUCGGUGGAAAAACAGUGUAUACUCCGUGAUUAUCAUGUCGCGUCUGUCGGCUAUUAUCGGCCUGGUGGCCCUGUGUGUCGUGCUCCUCCUCCAGACGUACCCCUCCGCCGUAGAAGCCGCCGGAACACCGGCACCAGCGGCCGGUGCCACCACCGCAAACGCUACCGCGAGCGGCGCGGAACAGUGUGUAUCGUCCGCGGGAUUGCUGGCCACCACAGCCUUUCUACUGAAGCAGACCAUCGCACUCUGAGGAACAAGGCGGAUAUGUAUAAUAUAAUUCCUUUAGAAAGUGCCUCUCAAAAGAAUGCUCGAAGAAAUGAUGAUGUAUUCCAGAGUAUCUCUGCGCUAUUUAAAAAAACGUGAAUUUCCGAUGUUUGAAAAAAAAUGAAUCCGUUUCCUCGUGCAGAAGUAAAGAAACAUGAUUUC